GAUGAACGCUGGCGGCGUGCCUAAUACAUGCAAGUCGAGCGACCAGACGAGGAGCUUGCUCUUCUGACGUUAGCGGCGGGCGGGUGAGUAACACGUGGAUCACCUUCCUCUAUUACUGGGAUAACAUCGGGAAAACGGAGCCACUACUGCAUCAUAUAUUGAACCGCAUGGUUCAAUAGUGAAUGACGGCUUUGCUGUCUCUUUUAGCUGGAUCCGCGUCGCAUUAGCUAGUUGGUAAGGUAACGGCUUACCAAGGCGACGAACCGUAGCUGACCUGAGAGGAUGAUCAGCCACACUGGAACUGAGACACGGUCCAGACUCCUACGGGAGGCAGCAGUAGGGAAUCUUCGGCAAAGGGCGAAAGCCUGACGGAGCAACGCCGCGUGAGUGAUGAAGGUCUUCGGAUCGUAAAGCUCUGUUGUUGGGGAAGAACAGCAGUAGAUUUAACUAUGCACGUCUUGACGGUACCUAAACAAAAAGCCACGGCUAACUUCGUG
rnacentral:rRNA from 1 species